UACGUAGGGUGCAAGCGUUGUCCGGAAUUAUUGGGCGUAAAGAGCUCGUAGGCGGCCUGUUGCGUCCGCUGUGAAAUCCCGGGGCUCAACCCCGGGCCUGCAGUGGAUACGGGCUGGCUAGAGGCAGGCAGGGGAGAACGGAAUUCCUGGUGUAGCGGUGGAAUGCGCAGAUAUCAGGAGGAACACCGGUGGCGAAGGCGGUUCUCUGGGCAUUACCUGACGCUGAGGAGCGAAAGUGUGGGGAGCGAACAGG
rnacentral:rRNA from 1 species